rnacentral:sRNA from 1 species
CAAGUGUCGUACUGUUUAGACCUCGUCCCAAAUUAUAUUUUAUUUUAAAAUGUUUGUGAAAAAGUAACAAAAUUUUGUACAAUUUUUAAAAUGUAGUGUGUGUUUUCGGAAUCAAAAUUAAACCUUUUUAAGUGUAAUUUUUGGUUAUAAAAAAUGUGAAAGUUUAGUUUUCGAAAAACUUAAAUGUCUGUUUAAAGGUGACGAAAGACAAGCCUAAUACCUAACAAGUGCAAUGAACCAUUCUAUUUUGUUCCUUAAUAGGUGACGAAGAAAAAACCAUAAUACGCAACAAGGUGACGAAGAACAAUGUAUAUGUUUUGUAAAAAUAUCAUACUAUUCCUUCUAGAACCUUUUAUUUUGUGUAAGAAAUUCUUUAAAUUAAGUCAUUGUGGAAAUAUGUGCAGUCUGAGAAAUGGAAAAAAUCGGCGAGCCAUAUCUAAGUUAUGCCAGUUACGAAUAUAACGCAAUAUGCAAGGAUAUGAAGUGAAGGAGGGCGGUGUCAUGUGGAAAAUUGUACGGUAGCCAGAUGGCCAGGAUACAGGAUCCAGGAACCAGAUCCAGAUACUGUAUCCAGGAUCUGCAGGACUAGGCUGUUGCAUUUAAUGUAUAUUAAAUGCCUUUUUCGAGUCAUUGUUGAGGAAUUUUUGAAUUGAAAUCUCAUUGUUUGCCAUACAGAUUUCGUUUCUCGUUUCGUCCUGCUCUCGACUCAAUUGAAUGCAGGACCAGCUGGCAGGAUCUGAGGAUCCUUGACGUCGGGACAAAGUGGCGGGGGAGUUGGCACACUCGCCGCUCUGAUUUAACGCUCUCUUGCCGAAUGUCGCAUAAGAGCCGAGAAAAACACCUUUUCCGAAAAGUGCGCCAAAAAGGGAUCCUGAUCCCUGGUCACGAGCCAAGCAAACACAAAGGACUACUACUGCCGGGACUACCGACGUCUGCCAGGUCUCCGAAGGACUCGCCAAACAACAAGAACAAGGAGCCAAAGAAAAGAAAAGGAAACAAAAUCGCAUCGUGGCAUGCGUCGGCGGUUGAAGAAAAAAAACAAUACAAGAGCCCUCGGGACAUCUGUCGACGCUCUCCUUCGGCAAACACUAACGCAGAUACACUUGAAAAAAAUGAAACUAAAUGAAACGGGGGGAAAUAAAAUAUUAAAAGGUCUAAGGAGGGAAAUUAUCUGAAAAUGUCUAGGAUCUAAACCAACCAGGAGUAACAAGCUAAAGGACCCAAAAAGGAGCAAAAGGAGUAGGAGGUAUUGCUCAAGUGCUUGCCACAUGUUGCCUUCGUAAAUUGGGAAACAAUCGACGAGCUAAUAGGGUUAAGUGCCGGAAAUGGCUCCAGCCCAGGGAGGGGAACUGCUAAACGUUGCAAUUUUAUGUCAUUAUCUGGAAAGGCAAUAUGUGGUGGAAAUAAAGAGGUGCUUCGCUUCCAGAUCGGGUUAGAAAUGGGCCGGAUAUUAAA